GGAAGUCUGACCGAGCAACGCCGCGUGAGUGAAGAAGGUUUUCGGAUCGUAAAGCUCUGUUGUAAGAGAAGAACGAGUGUGAGAGUGGAAAGUUCACACUGUGACGGUAUCUUACCAGAAAGGGACGGCUAACUACGUGCCAGCAGCCGCGGUAAUACGUAGGUCCCGAGCGUUGUCCGGAUUUAUUGAGCGUAAAGCGAGCGCAGGCGGUUAGAUAAGUCUGAAGUUAAAGGCUGUGGCUUAACCAUAGUACGCUUUGGAAACUGUUUAACUUGAGUGCAAGAGGGGAGAGUGGAAUUCCAUGUGUAGCGGUGAAAUGCGUAGAUAUAUGGAGGAACACCGGUGGCGAAAGCGGCUCUCUGGCUUGUAACUGACGCUGAGGCUCGAAAGCGUGGGGAGCAAACAGGAUUAGAUACCCUGGUAGUCCACGCCGUAAACGAUGAGUGCUAGGUGUUAGACCUUUCCGGGUUUAGUGCCGCAGCUAACGCAUUAAGCACUCCGCCUGGGAGUACGAACGCAAGU
rnacentral:rRNA from 1 species